AACUGUGACACGAGGAUUUUCAGUCCUCUGCUCUACCAGCUGAG
rnacentral:tRNA from 1 species